rnacentral:lncRNA from 1 species
CUGUAGUCCUCUUCACGACUUGGUGAAGUCAGUGGGAGGAUUGUUGAUUAGCUGAUCAAAUCUCUUCUCAAAAUUAAUUCUUAAAUUUUUUAAAUUAUUAGGUUGCUAAAAUGAGAUAGUUAUAGUGAUAACUAGAUCAUUGCCUCUUCUUAAGUUAGAUGAUAAUGCGUCCAUUAGUUAGAUGAUUAUUGGAGGCCCAAAUGUCUGGUGCCAAUCCACUAUUGAAAUUAUCAUUCAUAAUAUGAUGACUCAGUCGAGUCUCUC